AACGAACGCUGGCGGCAGGCUUAACACAUGCAAGUCGAGCGCCCCGCAAGGGGAGCGGCAGACGGGUGAGUAACACGUGGGAAUCUACCCAUCCCUACGGAACAACUCCGGGAAACUGGAGCUAAUACCGUAUACGCCCUUCGGGGGAAAGAUUUAUCGGGGAUGGAUGAGCCCGCGUUGGAUUAGCUAGUUGGGGGGGUAAAGGCCUACCAAGGCGACGAUCCAAAGCUGGUCUGAGAGGAUGAUCAGCCACAUUGGGACUGAGACACGGCCCAAACUCCGACGGGAGGCAGCAGUGGGGAAUAUUGGACAAUGGGCGCAAGCCUGAUCCAGCCAUGCCGCGUGAGUGAUGAAGGCCUUAGGGUUGUAAAGCUCUUUCACCGAUGAAGAUAAUGACGGUAGUCGGAGAAGAAGCCCCGGCUAACUUCGUGCCAGCAGCCGCCGUAACAC
rnacentral:rRNA from 1 species